CCCAACGGGCAUGCCUUAGUACGGCGAGUGAGCGGCAAAAGCUCAAAUUUGAAAUCUGGCACCUUCGGUGUCCGAGUUGUAAUUUGAAGAAGGUAACUUUGGAGUUGGCUCUUGUCUAUGUUCCUUGGAACAGGACGUCACAGAGGGUGAGAAUCCCGUGCGAUGAGAUGCCCAAUUCUAUGUAAAGUGCUUUCGAAGAGUCGAGUUGUUUGGGAAUGCAGCUCUAAGUGGGUGGUAAAUUCCAUCUAAAGCUAAAUAUUGGCGAGAGACCGAUAGCGAACAAGUACAGUGAUGGAAAGAUGAAAAGAACUUUGAAAAGAGAGUGAAAAAGUACGUGAAAUUGUUGAAAGGGAAGGGCUUGAGAUCAGACUUGGUAUUUUGCGAUCCUUUCCUUCUUGGUUGGGUUCCUCGCAGCUUACUGGGCCAGCAUCGGUUUGGAUGGUAGGAUAAUGACUAAGGAAUGUGGCUCUACUUCGGUGGAGUGUUAUAGCCUUGGUUGAUACUGCCUGUCUAGACCGAGGACUGCGUCUUUGACUAGGAUGCUGGCAUAAUGAUCUUAAGCCACCCGUCUUGA
rnacentral:rRNA from 1 species